rfam:Homo sapiens chromosome 1, GRCh38 reference primary assembly.
AUACUUACGUAACAGGAGAAAAUACGGCCAUGAAGUUGGUGUUUCUCGGGGGCGAUUUCUCCAUUGUACUCAGUAUGUGCUGACUGACUCCUGUUACUUCCACAUGUGGGGAAACUGGACUGUAAUUUGUGGUGGUGGGGAAUUGCGUUCGCGCUUUCUUCUG